AAGUCGUAACAAGGUUUCCGUAGGUGAACCUGCGGAAGGAUCAUUAAUGUAACCGGACCGUUCGGGCGCCGUAAAACGCAUCUGUUCGGAAAGGGAGAUAUCAUACACCCUGUGUUUAUUUACCUUUGUUGCUUUGGCGGGCCGUCCUUUUAGGCGUCGGCCCCGGCUGAUCGCGCCUGCCAGAGGACCCAAACUCUUCUAUUAGUGAUGUCUGAGUACUAUAUAAUAGUUAAAACUUUCAACAACGGAUCUCUUGGUUCUGGCAUCGAUGAAGAACGCAGCGAAAUGCGAUAAGUAAUGUGAAUUGCAGAAUUCAGUGAAUCAUCGAAUCUUUGAACGCACAUUGCGCCCGCUGGUAUUCCGGCGGGCAUGCCUGUUCGAGCGUCAUUAUGACCAAUCAAGCUCUGCUUGGCCUUGGGGCCCGCUGUACUGGCGGCCCUUAAAAUCAGUGGCGGUGCCGUCUGACUCUAAGCGUAGUAAUACUUCUCGCUACAGGGUCCAGCCGUUCACCCGCCAGAACCCCCAACUUUCUUAGGUUGACCUCGGAUCAGGUAGGGAUACCCGCUGAACUUAA
rnacentral:rRNA from 1 species